AUUGAACGCUGGCGGCAGGCCUAACACAUGCAAGUCGAGCGAGCGGCGGACGGGUGAGUAUUGUCUGGGAAACUGUCUGACGGAGGGGGAUAACUAUUGGAAACGGUAGCUAAUAUCGCACACCAUCAGAUGUGCCCAUAUGGGAGUAGCUAGGAGGUGGGGUAACGGCUCACCUAGGCGACGAUCUCUCGCUGGUCUGAGAGGUUGACCAGCCACACGGGAACUGAGACACGGUCCAGACUCCUACGGGAGGCAGCAGUGGGGAAUAUUGCACAAUGGGCGCAAGCCUGAUGCAGCCAUGCCGCGUGUAUGAAGAAGGCCUUCGGGUUGUAAAGCACUUUCAGCGGGGAGGCGUUACCCGCAGAAGAAGCACCGGCUAACUCCGUGCCAGCAGCCGCGGUAAUAC
rnacentral:rRNA from 1 species